AGGGGGAUAACAUCCGGAAACGGAUGCUAAAACCGCAUAGGUCUUCGAGCUGCAUGGCUUGAAGAGGAAAGAGGCGCAAGCUUCUGCUGAUGGAUGGGCCCGCGGUGCAUUAGCUAGUUGGUGAGGUAACGGCUCACCAAGGCCGUGAUGCAUAGCCGACCUGAGAGGGUGAUCGGCCACAUUGGGACUGAGACACGGCCCAA
rnacentral:rRNA from 1 species